rnacentral:lncRNA from 1 species
GGAAAACCACGGACCUGAAAAAGUGUCCUGCUUUGGAUAAUUUAUAUGGCCACUCCUGUAAGAAAAGGAACAGAUUUUCAAAUCCUACUUCAUGUGGUUCCAGAAUCUCUGCUUUUUGCCUCUUUCUCAUCCUCUGUGAGUGCAAUUGUGGCUUUCCUCAUCAGGCGCUGGGCAGUAGCCCUGGGUGAGGUAGGAGGAUGUGGGUCCUGGACGAUAAACGGCUGCUCCCCAGAACCUAGAGCACUUCCGCAGGGAGAGAAUUUCACAGCUCAUUGACUGCUCUGACUCCUAAUCUACACCGAGGAAACAAUGUUGCAGCUCAUCAAAUGCAAUCAGCUGCUAAUUGAAAGGAAAUGGAAUUUUACAAUUACAGGCCACCUUUCAGUGCUCAGGAUUUCUAAGCACUUCUCCCCACCUUCCUUUGCCAGCUCAGCACUGGCAGGAGCACUUGACAACCUGCUAGAGACUUCCCUAAAAGCUGCAUUUAGGACCUGGCCCGUUCUCCCCAGCUCCAGAGCAGCAGCAAAGGGAAGCAGCGUCCUCGCCAAUACCUGGGCUGUCCUUCAAGGCUCAGUGCAAGGAAAAACACCUGGGUUGGACAUCAGGUAGUGCUGACUUCCAGACCACUGAGGUCACCUGCAUAAGCGAGUCUGGCAACAAAUAAUCGUCUUCCAGAAAAUGACCAGAAACUCAGCCUGCUUUUUGUCAUUUCACCAGCCCCACCAUCUUUCCUUUAUUCUAGAGCUCCUGGCACACUUACAUGAAUCUCUUGAAAGAAGAGAAAUGAGAGCAUUCAUUCCAUACUAAUACAAUUGUGCCCUAUGGAAAGGCUUUUUGCUGGCAGACAUAGUAGACGGACCAUUUCCCAACUUCUUUUUCUUUGCCACCUUCCAGCCAAAGGUGUCCAUAUGACACAGCUCUGGACAGGAUAAUUGGAAGUCUGUUGUGGGAUUUCUGAGAAAGCUUUUGAUUUUCUGACAGAGACAUUUUUGCUUCCCCUUACCACUUCCUACUGGAUUACAGAUGUGAUGGAAAGAGCUGCAGCAGCCAUAAUACAACCAUAAAGGAGAGGAGAAGAGAAUUGCAAAGGCAUCAACCCACAUUGAAUUGAACUGCUAAGUUAACACUAGCAGUUACUUGCCUCCAGAUAUCUUGGUGUGUGAGAACAUUAAAUCUGUAUGUGUCUAAAUCAGUAUGGGUGAACAUUUCUGUCACUAAAGUCAAAAGCAUCCCUGAAACAGUGCAUGAUUCCAUAUGACCCUUACCACAACCCUGGUAAAUAGGUAUAAUUAUCCUUCAUUUAAACAUGACGAAAUUAAAGUUGGGAGAAACUGACUAUACAAAAGUCAUUAAUCGUAUGAGUGGUAGAAUCAGG